rnacentral:lncRNA from 1 species
CAGGAUCUCCUUCACAGGUUCCAAGAGCGUCCAGAUCAUUUAUCGUUUCCCCAUUGUCAUUUCCAGGUCACCAAGAUUCUUCCCGACUGAGAUGUGUUGCUCUUGCAGACCAAGAUGUUUAUUAAUUCUUCUAAUUCAAUACAUUCUUUGUCUACCAAGAAAACAGGAUAUACCAAGCUUGCAUUACCACAUGCAGAAUCUCUUACAAGUGAAGGAUGGAUACCAAGAAAAUUUGGGACCAAGCAUAAAGUCUGAGCAAACUCCAGGAGCUAGUGAAGGACAGAGAAGCCUGGCAUGCUGCAGUCCACGAGGUCGCAGAGUCAGACGCAACUUAGUGACUGAACAACAACAAAACGUGAGAGCCGCAGAGUUUGACUUAGUGUCGUAUUGUGAUUUGUAAUAAGAAAUAUUUAUUUGGUCUUUGUCCCCAUUUCUGGCACAGAGCUCCUAAAACCUUUGGAAUUUCCUAAGUGCUGAGAGAGACAAAAGUGCUCUUUUGUUAUGUUAAUGAGGUGAAUUGGACUGCAUGGAAGGAUGGGAUUCAUUGGUUGAUUAGAGAAUCAACAAAGUGAUUAGAAUGUUGAAAGUUUUAGCCCCACUCACCUGACCUCUGGAAGGAGAGAGGGGCUGGAGGUGGAAUCAAUCACCAAUGGCCAAUGAUUUAAUCAAUUAUGCGUCUGUAAUGAAGUCUCUUUAAAAACGCAAAGGGCAGGUUUGGAGAGCUUCCAGGUUGGUGAAUGGUGUUGAUGCUCUGAGAGUGGUGUGCUCAGAGAGGGCAUGGAAACUUUGUGCCCCUUCCCAUGUACUUUGCCCUGUGGAUCUCUUCCAUCUGGCUGUUCCCGAGUAGCAGCCUUUUAUAAUAAAUCAGUAACCUAGUAAGUAAAAUGUUUCUCU